GAUGAAGAACGCAGCGAAAUGCGAUACGUAAUGUGAAUUGCAGAAUUCAGUGAAUCAUCGAAUCUUUGAACGCACAUUGCGCCCAUUAGUAUUCUAGUGGGCAUGCCUGUUCGAGCGUCAUUUCAACCCUUAAGCCUAGCUUAGUAUUGGGAAUCGACUUUACUGUCGUUCCUCAAAUUCAACGGCGGAUUUAUAGCAAUCUCUGAACGUAGUAAUUUUUUUUCUCGUUUUUGAAAUACUAUAAACCUCAGCCGCUAAACCACCAAUUUCUUAUGGUUGACCUCGGAUCAGGUAGGAAUACCCGCUGAACUUAAGCAUAUCAAUAAGCGGAGGA
rnacentral:misc_RNA from 1 species